CCGCUGACAAGAAGAGGAGAGAAGCUGCAGAACCGGAGAGACUCAGAACGGAGGGAGGGAGGGGCGAGCUGCGACGCAAUGCAGACACACUGUACAGCCUGGUUCUAUGGAGAACACUGAGGUUCUACAGACACACUGUACAGCCUGGUUCUAUGGAGAACACUGAGGUUCCACAGACACACUGUACAGCCUGGUUCUAUGGAGAACACUGAGGUUCUACAGACACACUGUACAGCCUGGUUCUAUGGAGAACACUGAGGUUCCACAGACACACUGUACAGCCUGGUUCUAUGGAGAACACUGAGGUUCUACUGACACACUGUACAGCCUGGUUCUAUGGAGAACACUGAGGUUCCACAGACACACUGUACAGCCUGGUUCUACGGAGAACACUGAGGUUCCACAGACACACUGUACAGCCUGGUUCUAUGGAGAACACUGAGGUUCCACAGACACACUGUACAGCCUGGUUCUAUGGAGAACACUGAGGUUCUACAGACACACUGUACAGCCUGGUUCUAUGGAGAACACUGAGGUUCCACAGACACACUGUACAGCCUGGUUCUAUGGAGAACACUGAGGUUCUACUGACACACUGUACAGCCUGGUUCUAUGGAGAACACUGAGGUUCCACAGACACACUGUACAGCCUGGUUCUACGGAGAACACUGAGGUUCUACUGACACACUGUACAGCCUGGUUCUAUGGAGAACACUGAGGUUCUACAGACACACUGUACAGCCUGGUUCUACGGAGAACACUGAGGUUCUACAGACACACUGUACAGCCUGGUUCUAUGGAGAACACUGAGGUUCUACAGACACACUGUACAGCCUGGUUCUAUGGAGAACACUGAGGUUCUACUGACACACUGUACAGCCUGGUUCUAUGGAGAACACUGAGGUUCUACAGACACACUGUACAGCCUGGUUCUAUGGAGAACACUGAGGUUCUACUGACACACUGUACAGCCUGGUUCUAUGGAGAACACUGAGGUUCUACGGACACACUGUACAGCCUGGUUCUAUGGAGAACACUGAGGUUCUACGGACACACUGUACAGCCUGGUUCUAUGGAGAACACUGAGGUUCUACUGACACACUGUACAGCCUGGUUCUAUGGAGAACACUGAGGUUCUACGGACACACUGUACAGCCUGGUUCUACGGAGAACACUGAGGUUCCACAGACACACUGUACAGCCUGGUUCUAUGGAGAACACUGAGGUUCCACAGACACACUGUACAGCCUGGUUCUAUGGAGAACACUGAGGUUCCACUGACACACUGUACAGCCUGGUUCUAUGGAGAACACUGAGGUUCUACUGACACACUGCACAGCCUGGUUCUAUGGAGAACACUGAGGUUCUACUGACACACUGCACAGCCUGGUUCUAUGGAGAACACUGAGGUUCUACUGACACACUGUACAGCCUGGUUCUAUGGAGAACACUGAGGUUCUACUGACACACUGUACAGCCUGGUUCUAUGGAGAACACUGAGGUUCUACUGACACACUGCACAGCCUGGUUCUAUGGAGAACACUGAGGUUCUACUGACACACUGUACAGCCUGGUUCUAUGGAGAACACUGAGGUUCUACUGACACACUGUACAGCCUGGUUCUAUGGAGAACACUGAGGUUCCACUGACACACUGUACAGCCUGGUUCUAUGGAGAACACUAGGGUUCUCCUGCAGAUUCUGCAGCGCUGAGCUGUGAUUGGCUGCUGAGCUGUUUGCAUGGUGGUGUUGCCAUGGUAACAGGAAGAGCAGCAGAAUCUGAUAGAUCAAUAAUCAAUAAAUGUUCUCAAAGCACAGUUACAAAAGUACAGUUUAAAAACAAACAAGUUCUGUAAUAAAUGUUCUGUAGUAAAUGUUCUCUAAUGGACAUUCUAGAGUAAAUGUUCUGUUCUAAAUGUUCCAUAAUAAAUGUUCCAUCAUGUUCUGUAAUAAAUGGUUGAUAAUAAAUGUUAUAUACUAAAUGUUC